CACCAGACUUAGGAUCUGGCGGGUAACACCGUGGGGGUUCGAGUCCCUUCAUCCGCACCA
rnacentral:tRNA from 1 species